rnacentral:rRNA from 1 species
CCUACGGGGUGCAGCAGUGGGGAAUAUUGGACAAUGGGCGAAAGCCUGAUCCAGCCAUGCCGCGUGUGUGAAGAAGGCCUUCGGGUUGUAAAGCACUUUCAGUUGGGAAGAAAGCCUUGGGGCUAAUACCCUCGAGGAAGGACAUCACCCACAGAAGAAGCACCGGCUAACUCCGUGCCAGCAGCCGCGGUAAUACGGAGGGUGCGAGCGUUAAUCGGAAUUACUGGGCGUAAAGCGCGCGUAGGCGGUCUGAUAAGCCGGUUGUGAAAGCCCCGGGCUCAACCUGGGAACGGCAUCCGGAACUGUCAGGCUAGAGUGCAGGAGAGGAAGGUAGAAUUCCCGGUGUAGCGGUGAAAUGCGUAGAGAUCGGGAGGAAUACCAGUGGCCAAGGCGGCCUUCUGGACUGACACUGACGCUGAGGUGCGAAAGCGUGGGUAGCAAACAGGAUUAGAUACCCGAGUAGUC